UACGGAGGGUGCAAGCGUUAUCCGGAUUCACUGGGUUUAAAGGGUGCGUAGGCGGAUAGGUAAGUCCGUGGUGAAAUCCUGCAGCUUAACUGCAGAACUGCCAUGGAUACUAUUUAUCUUGAAUAUCGUGGAGGUUAGCAGAAUAUGUCAUGUAGCGGUGAAAUGCUUAGAUAUGACAUAGAAUACCCAUUGCGAAGGCAGCUAACUACGCGAUAAUUGACGCUGAUGCACGAAAGCGUGGGGAUCAAACAGG
rnacentral:rRNA from 1 species